AGAGUUUGAUCCUGGCUCAGAGUGAACGCUGGCGGCGUGCUUAACACAUGCAAGUCGAACGAGAACGGAAUAUAGCUUGCUAUAUUUGUCAGCUAAGUGGCGCACGGGUGAGUAAUAUAUAGGUAACAUGCCCCAAAGAAGAGGAUAACGUUUGGAAACGAACGCUAAUUACUCUAUAUGCCUUUAAGUCAUAAGACUGCAAGGGAAAUAUUUAUAGCUUUGGGAUUGGCCUGUACAGUAUCAGCUAGUUGGUGAGGUAAUGGCUCACCAAGGCAAUGACGCUUAACUGGUUUGAGAGGAUGAUCAGUCACACUGGAACUGAGACACGGUCCAGACUCCUACGGGAGGCAGCAGUGGGGAAUAUUGCACAAUGGACGAAAGUCUGAUGCAGCAACGCCGCGUGGAGGAUGACACAUUUCGGUGCGUAAACUCCUUUUAUAUAUGAAGAUAAUGACGGUAAUAUAUGAAUAAGCGCCGGCUAACUCCGUGCCAGCAGCCGCGGUAAUACGGAGGGCGCAAGCGUUACUCGGAAUCACUGGGCGUAAAGAGCGUGUAGGCGGUUGUUUAAGUCAGAAGUGAAAUCCUAUAGCUCAACUAUAGAACUGCUUUUGAAACUGAAUAACUAGAAUAUGGGAGAGGUAGAUGGAAUUUCUGGUGUAGGGGUAAAAUCCGUAGAGAUCAGAAGGAAUACCGAUUGCGAAGGCGAUCUACUGGAACAUUAUUGACGCUGAGACGCGAAAGCGUGGGGAGCAAACAGGAUUAGAUACCCUGGUAGUCCACGCCCUAAACGAUGAGAACUAUUGGAGGAAUUUAUAAUCCUUUAGUAUCGUAGCUAACGCGAUAAGUUCUCCGCCUGGGGAGUACGGCCGCAAGGUUAAAACUCAAAUGAAUUGACGGGGGCCCGCACAAGCGGUGGAGCAUGUGGUUUAAUUCGAUGCAACGCGAAGAACCUUACCUGGUCUUGACAUCCUUGGAAUUUCGCAGAAACGUGAAAGUGCCUUCGGGAGCUAUCAUACAGGUGCUGCACGGCUGUCGUCAGCUCGUGUCGUGAGAUGUUGGGUUAAGUCCCGCAACGAGCGCAACCCUCGUCAUUAGUUACUAACAGUUCGGCUGAGGACUCUAAUGAGACUGCCUUCGUAAGGAGGAGGCAGGUGUGGACGACGUCAAGUCAUCAUGGCCCUUACGGCUAGGGCGACACACGUGCUACAAUGGUUAGGACAAAGAGAAGCGAUACCGCGAGGUGUAGCAAAUCUAUAAACCUAAUCUCAGUUCGGAUUGUAGUCUGCAACUCGCCUACAUGAAGCUGGAAUCACUAGUAAUCGUAGAUCAGCCAUGCUACGGUGAAUACGUUCCCGGGUCUUGUACUCACCGCCCGUCACACCAUGGGAGUUGAUUUCACCCGAAGCCGGAAUACUAAAUUAGUUACCGUCCACAGUGGGUUCAGCGACUGGGGUGAAGUCGUAACAAGGUAACC
rnacentral:rRNA from 1 species